rfam:Anopheles culicifacies strain species A-37_1 cont1.10105, whole genome shotgun sequence.
GGCUCGGUGGCCGAGGAGAUUGAGGCGCCGGUCUUCUACCGGACAGGAACGAGGUUCGAAUCCCAUUCGGGCCG